rnacentral:rRNA from 1 species
UACGUAGGCAGCGAGCGUUGUUCGGAAUUACUGGGCGUAAAGAGUGUGUAGGCGGUGUUCCCAGUCUGUUGUGAAAUCUCCCGGCUUAACUGGGAGGGUGCAGCGGAAACUAGAAUGCUAGAGGGUGGGAGAGGUAAGCGGAAUUCCUGGUGUAGCGGUGAAAUGCGUAGAUAUCGGGAGGAACACCGGUGGCGAAGGCGGCCUUCUGGACUGCAACUGACACUGAGAAACGAAAGCCAGGGUAGCAAACGGG